UGACCCCUAAUCACCCUUAGCGAC
rnacentral:tRNA from 1 species